UACGUAGGUGCAAGCGUUGUCCGGAAUUAUUGGGCGUAAAGAGCUCGUAGGCGGUUUGUCGCGUCGAAUGUGAAAACCCGGGGCUCAACCCCGGGCCGCAUUCGAUACGGGCAGACUAGAGUUCGGUAGGGGAGUCUGGAAUUCCUGGUGUAGCAGUGAAAUGCGUAGAUAUCAGGAGGAAUACCGAUGGCGAAGGCAGGUCUCUGGGCUGACACUGACGUCAUGCACGAAAGCGUGGGGAGCAAACAGG
rnacentral:rRNA from 1 species